rnacentral:rRNA from 1 species
GUAUAGCGUAAGACUAAUUGUAGUAAUACAAUAUCGACUAUGUCGGAUAAAGUUCUAGAUAGAAUAAUGAUGAUGACAAUUUUCUAUCUAUAUGUCUUGGCCAAAUCUCGUGCCAGCAGCCGCGGUAAUACGAGGAAGACUAGUGUUAUUCAUCUUUAAUAGGUUUAAAGGGUACCUAGACGGUAUUUUUAGCCCAAAACAGGGUACGGAUUUACUAGAGUUUUAUGUGAGAAGGGGAGUACUUAUGGAGUAGGGAUGAAAUCCUUUUAUACUAUGGGGUAACUGGUAGAGGCGAAAGCAACCUUUUAUGUAAAAACUGACGUUGAGGGACGAAGGCCUGGGUAGCAAAAAGGAUUAGAUACCCUCGUAGUCCAGGCAGAAAAUUAUGAAUGUCAUAGACUAGAAAAAAAAAAAGUAUAACUUGUUGACAAAUAUGGAACUUGAAAAAAGGUGUAUUGACAUACAGACGUGCUAUAAAGUUAAAACUGGCAAUGUUGGAAAAGGUGUAAAAAACUUUUAAUCCUGCUUGUUAGGAAUUUGCAAAGACUUUUUCACCUAGUGUAGUAUGAAUAUGAUUAUACUUAGUUUAUAAAUAAAAGUGCAAGCAUUCCACCUCAAGAGUAAUGUGGCAACGCAGGAACUGAAAUCAUUAGACCGUUUCUGAAACCAGUAGUGAAGUAUGUUAUUUAAUUCGAUGACCCUCGAAAAACCUUACCACAAUUUGAAUG